UACGUAGGGUGCGAGCGUUAAUCGGAAUUACUGGGCGUAAAGCGUGCGCAGGCGGUGAUGUAAGACAGUUGUGAAAUCCCCGGGCUCAACCUGGGAACUGCAUCUGUGACUGCAUCGCUGGAGUGCGGCAGAGGGGGAUGGAAUUCCGCGUGUAGCAGUGAAAUGCGUAGAUAUGCGGAGGAACACCGAUGGCGAAGGCAAUCCCCUGGGCCUGCACUGACGCUCAUGCACGAAAGCGUGGGGAGCAAACAGG
rnacentral:rRNA from 1 species